AGAGUUUGAUCCUGGCUCAGGACGAACGCUGGCGGCGCGCCUAACACAUGCAAGUCGAACGGAGCUUAUAUUUCAGAAGUUUUCGGAUGGACGAGAGAUAAGCUUAGUGGCGGACGGGUGAGUAACACGUGAGCAACCUGCCUUUCAGAGGGGGAUAACAGUUGGAAACGACUGCUAAUACCGCAUAACGCUGCGAUGGGCAUCCCGAUGCAGCCAAAGGAGCAAUCCGCUGGAAGAUGGGCUCGCGGCCGAUUAGCUAGUUGGUGGGGCAACGGCCCACCAAGGCGACGAUCGGUAGCCGGACUGAGAGGUUGAUCGGCCACAUUGGGACUGAGACACGGCCCAGACUCCUACGGGAGGCAGCAGUGGGGGAUAUUGCACAAUGGAGGAAACUCUGAUGCAGCGACGCCGCGUGAGGGAAGACGGUCUUCGGAUUGUAAACCUCUGUCUUUGGGGAAGAAAAUGACGGUACCCAAAGAGGAAGCUCCGGCUAAAUACGUGCCAGCAGCCGCGGUAAUACGUAUGGGGCAA
rnacentral:rRNA from 1 species